rnacentral:rRNA from 1 species
UACGGAGGGUGCAAAGCGUUUACCCGGAAUCACUGGGCGUAAGGGCGUGUAGGUGGCUCGUUCAGUCUGGUUUUAAAGACCGAAGCUCAACUUUCGGGCAUGGACUGGAUACUGGCGAGCUAGACGGAUGGAGAGGUCACUGGAAUUCUUGGUGUAGCGGUGGAAUGCGUAGAUACCAAGAGGAACACCGAUGGCGAAGGCAGGUG